GUGCAGACUUUGAAAGGGUGUGUGGUGGUCUAUUUCUUGCUGUUUAAUACGGAGGCUGAUCGUCGAUAUUCUGAUUACAUUGGAACUUCAUUUGAUCAAUACUCUAAUGCAGCGUUUCUCAAUCUUUUUACCCUUGCGGAAACCUUGAAAGAAUUUUUAUGUCUCCGGGAACCCCUGAGCUGGGGGUUGCCGGGCCCGUCGGCGUUUUGAGAUUGCCAUUUUGACUCGCGUCAUAAUGGUGAUCUCUGGCGUCAACGGGGACCCGUCGGCCGUGCCUGCGCAGUUGGGGGAGGAUUGCCAGGCCGGGAUUGCCAUUUUAACAUCCAGCGUUAUGUAUAAGUGAUUGCUACUGGGGGAAUAUUGUGUUGGGGAGGGGGACCCAACGGGUCCACGCUUGGUCUAGUUCAGGGCCGUGAAACUAAUUUUAGGUCACGGACCAGAUAGGGCAAAGUUCGACUUCACGCGGGCUGGAUCAGAGCGCACGUGCUCCCACAGCUUUUGUUGCUUUCAUUUUUUCAACCUGCUCUCAUGUGUCUCAGUCUCUGUUAUAACUACAAAGUGUUUCACUUUACGAAUUUUGUUUCUUUUGAAGAAGAUUGCCUAGCAAGCAUUACUUUUAUAAUUGGUAUUAACUUGCAGUUGUAGGCUACAAGAAAUUUGUGAUGAGAGAGAGAAAAAACAAUGCUAUUUUGGCUAAUAAUUUGAAAUCGAACAUUAGCAGACACAAAUGUAGACCUAACGAAACAACUAGGUCUAUUUCUCCGCCACCAUUUUAGCGCUGUUAUCCAAGAGAGACUCCGAGGUUGUGGCCUCUCCCAGUCAGUGCGGGUUUCUGGAACGAUCGGGAGACUGGGAAGGGCCUUGAACAGAGACGCUUUGCGGUCGGCUGAGCUCUCUCCUCCGCCAUGAGAGAAAAGUACCCACAGUGCAAUGUUGGGGGUUUUUCCUGACGGCAUUCGAACCCAGCACCCAGCCGCUCCGUACUGCGCAACCUAACCCCGCUCAGCACCCACCCCUGCCUUGUCAUUGGCACAGCUGACUACCCAGAGGGUAGUCCCUUCUAUUGGGCCAGCCUGGUGGCAGUCACGUGGGAUGACGCCCAGCCCGUUUGUUCUGAAUCUCGCCGCGUUCAGACCUGCCCCCCAAGUAGCAUUUGCGGUUUGAUUGGUCGGGUUGGGUGUCAGUCAAGGAGUCGUCACAAUGCUGGCAGCGCGCAGCCGCGGCUUCUCACACCAUAUAAGGAGCGGGCGGCUGACUAAGGAGGUGGGUCACGCGCACGAGCAGCGGCUCAGGAGAAGCCCAGAUGCCCCGGAACUGGGGACAUCUGCAGCCCGAUCUGGUAGCGGGCCAGAUUGUAGCGUUGUUACAAAUUCCUGCCAUCAGUGACACUCCAGUUCUGCCCUCUGCCUGUGCAUACGACUCGAGGGGGGGUGAUUAAAAUGCAGAGUUUUAUUGUUUGUCAGAGAGUGAUUUCCACGUACGACAAGCUUAUUGAAGAAAUGUUCUGUCAUCCCGUUCGCGAUUUUAAAAAAAACAAAAAAAAACGUUGCAUGACUAUUGAAUCGCUGGAUGAAAAUCGGGCCCAACCUCAACGCCUUCAAAAUCACGGAUCGCAAGACAGGACAAAUCAAAGAUGCCUUCGAAGAAGAAACACAAAAUUGUCAGUCCAAAUGCCCAGCUUGGCAUAGCUAGAGCUCACCUUGAAGUGAAUUUCUGUCAUGCCCGAGUCUAAGAGGGAUCUUAAAAAUGGACACAUCUUGUACUUGUAUACCUCGUUUGGAAAAAGUCGGUCUGAAACAGUCGGCUGAGUUCACAUUGUUCUUUGUCGGAUGCAGAAGGCUAUUCAGUUGUUACUCAAGGGUGAGGACUCUCGUUAACCGGACUUUGCUCAAGUUUAAAAAGCUCAACAAUCCCAAGAAAAUUUACGGAAAUUUGUGAUGAAACUUUUAAACUUCUAGAAGGCAGUCAUCACAUUUCUUUGGAUGAUAUUCCACUGCCUGAUGCUCACGAUCCUGAAUCCUUGACGUCUGCCGAAAGCCAAGUGCCCAUAUUUCAAGACACUGAGGACAUUGGCGAUGACAGUUAUCGUCUGCAUCCUCCACUGAAUCUAGCAACGCCAACGACAGCUGCUGCCUCUCCUGAACCAAUGCCAUUGACAUCUAGUGUUUCUCACAAGAUGUAGCAGAGAACUUGUAAGUCUUUCACCAAGGAAACAUAAAAAAUGAAGACAAGACUAAACUUUCUGUCCAUCUCCAAGAUCGCUCUUGCACUAAAGUAUCGCACAAAGAUCAGUGAACUUAGGGCACAGUUGAAAACUCCCAAACAUGUAGUUAAUCAGACCUUAAAGAGAAAACAAAACCAAAUAGAUUUGAUGGACAGAAAGAUUCAGGAACAAAACCAAAUUACGUGGGAAUACUUUGGCAUGAGAGCUUGCUGAAACCAAGGCAGAGUUUUUGAACACAGACAAUUGGGAAGAGGAUGUAAGACGCCUCAAAUUUGACAAUCUUGGCCUCAAAGAAACAAUCGAAACUCUGGAGGCUGCCAGUAUUGUCAAGUCAAAGGUGGACCAGAAGACUUAUUCCUCAAUGACAAGGAUGCAUGUGUUUGACUGUAUUGUAAACAAAACUCCCACAGCAAACAUUUCAAUCCUGAUACGCCAGUUGCACAAGUGGUGUGGACUUGAUCUGGAUAGUGUUCCUCAACGCAGUGCAGUUGAAGUUAUGGCCCGAGAAUUGGGAGCUGUUGCUGAGUUAUACAGCAGAGAUGAUCUUAGCAACAAAUGAUUUGACUUGGUUUUGAUGUAACCGUCCAAGAAGAGACCCAUAUUAACAGUGUACACUUCACCACCACAAAUUAAUGUCUUUCUGCAGCAGUCGAUGAAUUGGCUGGUGGGACUGCUGAGGGCCAUGCGCAACAUAUUUGCGAUACUGUUGACAAUUUGUGUGAAAUUUACACUUAUUUCAAUGAGCAGCGGAUUUCCAAGACACCAGGCAAACGAUGAUAGACAACAUUACAAAUACACUGAGUGAUGGGUGUGCAGCUAAUCAUGCUGGUAUUAGGAUUGUUAACAGUGAGUGGGGUAAAUCUUUGAAUGAGCUCUACUGCCAUUUGCAUCCACUUGACUCCAUCGUAGCGCCAGUUCGCUCAGCCCUCAAAAAGCACAAACAAUCCAGAGGCAAAGUCUUGUUUGGGAAGGACUGUCUAGCAGGAAAUGUCAUACUGCAGAUGAAAUGUCAUGAUGCAGAUGGAAAAGGUGACCCAAAAGGAUUUGUUGUAUUUUUGGAUGAAGGGAACAUCCCCUGCGGUGUCCUCCCACGGUACCGUGGCAACAGAUUACAUAUACUUUCCAUAUUAGUGGCAAGCUCAUAGAACAUUAUGAUGACUUUGUUGCCUUGCUGAAUAGCGGAAGCUCCUGUGGGGGGGGGUUGAGAAGCGCCAUCCUCACCCAGGCUGCAGCAAAAGUAGAACUUCAGAUAUUGGGCUUACUUGGCAAAUAUCUGACUGGUCUUUGGAUGAAGCCCUUCUACACUUCAAGCCAGAAUCAGAUCAACCAUGUUGAUGGCAUCAAAGUGGUUAAAGGGGUGAUUGCUGCUCUAAAGAAAGCCACACAAAAUCCAGAGAACUUGAUAUUGGCAAGGGAAGAUUUCUUCGGGGAGGAGGUGCAUCUUGAUGCCAUGUUGACAAAACUUCAGGAGCUACCAGUACAUCUACAGUUCAGUUUAAUGAUGAGCAGCUGUCUUCAAGCUGUCAUCACUGUUGGAAAGGCAAUAUAGUAAAUACUUUGAACUUGAUGUAACUGAGAAACUGAAGGAGGAGACUGCAUCAGCAAGAUCACACAACAUUGAUGUGGAGGAGAUAAUGGGGUUGUUUAGCUCAUCGAAACUGAAAUGUCCCAAUGCCCGCAUGUGCUAUUUGUCAUGUAGGAUGCGGGCCUGCAAGAAUAGAACAAUCAACUUCCUUGAUAAUCUCGAGGAGCAACGUAGGGAGGAGGUGCUCUGUAAGGCAGUGAAAUGGGGGAGAGUGCAGAGGAACAGAUGGAAGAAAAAACGGAAGGAAUUGAGAGCAGAAAUCAUCAAGAGACAGAAAGACAAGGAGCAUGCUCGGGACACGAAAGAGGAAAAGAAUAGGGGGGAAAAGAGACGUGAUUUAUACAGCAUUAGCAGAGAUUAUCUGAAUUUGGACUACUACAAAUGUGAGGAUCUCCAGGACAUUCUUAAUGGGAAAGUAGUGAGCAGAAAAACAUGUCAUGCAUGGUUUGAAGAGCAAAAACUUGUAGUUUACAAUGCCAAAAUUGAAGUUGAGGAAAAACAAGGUGUACAGAGUUGCUUAUUAUUUGCAGUCUGAGGAUUAUGAUAAUGCUACUGAUUAUGAUAUGCCAAUGUACCUGCUAGCAGCUGAUGUUCUCCAUGAAGACUUGGCCUUUUGCUAGAAAUUGUAAUUUCUUUACCUGUCUGUUACGGAUUUACAGCAUAUAAUACAAUAAUAUUAAAGUUCUGA